rnacentral:rRNA from 1 species
UGGACAGCCUUCUGAAAGGAAGAUUAAUACAAGAUGGCAUCAUGAGUCCGCAUGUUCACAUGAUUAAAGGUAUUCCGGUAGACGAUGGGGAUGCGUUCCAUUAGAUAGUAGGCGGGGUAACGGCCCACCUAGUCUUCGAUGGAUAGGGGUUCUGAGAGGAAGGUCCCCCACAUUGGAACUGAGACACGGUCCAAACUCCUACGGGAGGCAGCAGUGAGGAAUAUUGGUCAAUGGGCGAGAGUCUGAACCAGCCAAGUAGCGUGAAGGAUGACUGCCCUAUGGGUUGUAAACUUCCUUUAUAAAGGAAUAAAGUCGGGUAUGCAUACCCGUUUGCAUGUACUUUAUGAAUAAGGAUCGGCUAACUCCGUGCCAGCAGCCGCGGUAAUACGGAGGAUCCGAGCGUUAUCCGGAUUUAUUGGGUUUAAAGGGAGCGUAGAUGGAUGUUUAAGUCAGUUGUGAAAGUUUGCGGCUCAACCGUAAAAUUGCAGUUGAUACUGGAUAUCUUGAGUGCAGUUGAGGCAGGCGGAAUUCGUGGUGUAGCGGUGAAAUGCUUAGAUAUCACGAAGAACUCCGAUUGCGAAGGCAGCCUGCUAAGCUGCAACUGACAUUGAGGCUCGAAAGUGUGGGUAUCAAACAGGAUUAGAUACCCUGGUAGUCCACACGGUAAACGAUGAAUACUCGCUGUUUGCGAUAUACAGCAAGCGGCCAAGCGAAAGCGUUAAGUAUUCCACCUGGGGAGUAC